UGUUCAAGGGUUUCCAAUUUACCUCUCUCUUUCUCCCAUCUUCUCUUCCCCCGAAAUCAUAAUCUUCCUGAACACGCACCGCUGCUACUUCAAUUUUCAUCUCUCUCUCUCCAACGUCUUUGUUUCUUCAUCUUCCAAGGACCAAGAUGAUACUAAGACCAAGCGCAUGGAUAUUCCAAACGGAAUUGCUUUUCCCACCCUUAAAUUCAACAACCAACAACAGAAGCAAAGCAACAACAGUAGUAUGCGGUCUCCGUUCCUGCAAAAACAAGAAACCACCUUCAAUGGUAAUUUCCAAAGAAAGCGUUCAAGUUAUUCACGCUCUUAAACUCGCUAAAAAUUCUGAAGAAAAGCUCAACCAAGUUCUCAAGUCUAAAUUGCUUAGGUUAUUGAAGCCUGAUGUUUUAAUUGUCUUGGCUGAAUUGCAUAGACAAAAUCAACUCCAUUUAUCUCUCAAGGUUUUGGAGUUUAUUAUUAGUGAUGAGGAAGCUGGGUAUGAUAAAUUGCUGCUGCCAUUGUAUUCUGACACUAUUCUGUUGCUGGGAAAGAACAAGAUGAUUGAGAAGGCGGAAGAGAUGUUCUAUGAAGUUGUGGAAAAGGGGUUGAAACCAGAUACGAGGUUGUUCAAUGAGAUGAUUGGGGUUUAUUUGCAAGUUGGUAAUACAGAGAAGGCGAUGGAGGUUUACAGAUCCAUGAAGGCUUCAGGGUGUUUGCCGGAUGCAUUGACAUUCACGAUACUGAUUAGGAAUCUGAUGAAUAAUGGAGAAAAUGAACUGGUUGAAACUUUGAAAAAAGAGAGUUUUGACUAUGUCAAUAAACCUGAUAAAUUUGUUCAGAAAGUCCAGCUGAAACAUCCAAAAAAGAGACACAUCAAUUUGGUUAUCUAAUUUCCUGCAUUUGAUGGGGUUCUACUUAUACUGUUUCAUUUUCAUCAUUUCUACUGGAGGAGAUUCACACUGGGAGCAUUCCAGACAUUUGAGCUACAAUUUCAAAAUUACUUUUGUGCUUGUUGGUGGUGACUGCCAAUUUCGGUUGUAUUGAUGUAGUCUGUGAAUGUGAUAGACUGAUAGGUACUGAUUGGCAUGCAGCCUUGCAAUCUCUGGUUAUUAAAAUGGGUUCUGAAAGGAAUGUGUAUGUGGCCAGCGCUCUGAUUGAUAUGUAUUCAAAGGGGGGUGACAUUGAUGAGGCUCAAUGUGUGUUGGAUCAGACUUCUAAAAAGAACACUGUGUUGUGGACAUCCAUGAUCAUGGGUUAUGCUCAAUGUGGGAGAGGUUUAGACGCUUUGGAACUUUUCGAUUAUUUAUUAACCAAGAAAGAGUUAAUUCCUGAUCAUGUCUGCUUUACUGCAUUCUUAACAGCUUGCAAUCAUGCAGGAUUUAUCAACAAAGGGGAGGAAUAUUUCAACAAAAUGAUAACAAAGUAUGGCUUGUCUCCUGAUAUAGAUAUAUAUGCUUGCUUGAUUGAUCUUUAUGCUAGAAAUGGAAAUCUAAGGAAGGCAACGGAUUUGAUGGAGGAAAUGCCUUAUGAUCCAAAUUGUAUAAUCUGGAGUUCCUUCUUGAGUGCUUGCAAGAUUUAUGGAGAUGUAGAGCUUGGAAGGGAGGCCGCUAAUCAGCUCAUUAAGAUGGAACCAUGUAAUGCAGCUCCAUAUUUAACUCUAGCACACAUUUAUACAACAAAAGGAUUAUGGAACAAAGCUUCUGAAGUUAGAAGCCUUAUGCAACAAAGGGUUAAAAGAAAACCUGCAGGAUGGAGCCUUGGAGUUGGGUAAAGGACUAAAGGUAGAUAAGCAGAUUCACGUGUUUGCAGUUGAUGAUGCUACCCUUCAAACAAUCAAAUGAAAUCUAUUGACUUUGGAAUUUUAGAAGCUUCACCCUAUGUAGUAGAGGAUAUCAGUAUUCAAGCAUAUUUUUACCCACUUCACACGUGGAAUUGCAUGUUCCAAUUUAUGAUGAAAAAAGUUAUUACUUUCAUGCCAUUAAUCAGUGCAUGACUGUUGAUGAUUAGUUGAUCACAAACAAUGGUUGAAUUUCACUUCCUGAGAACCAUAAAAAUUGCCUACAACACUCUUGUGGAUCUGUGAUAUUUUACACAACUCAAGGAUUUGUUCUGUCUACUGUUUGACUUGGAGAUAAUGGUGUCAAGGUGAUUGUAAAGCUAGUAAGUAGUUCAAGUAUAUGAAAAGGUGAUUGCCGAGAUGAUAAUGGUGUCAAGGCAACAUUAUAAGCCUCUCCGCAGCAGAUGGAACUGAUCCGUAUUAGUUCAAGUUCCCAUCACAAUGACACUUUAGGAGGCUUUGUAAACCAUGAUUUUCAGCACAUUCCGAGUAUGGAGGUCCUGGUACACUCUUGGUUGAUCCUUUCAUUGACAUGGCUGAUAUUGUAAAUGACCGAGGAUUGCCUGGAGGACCGCAAGCUGCACGUACUGCUAUCAAUUGGGCCCAAGCUCAUGUUGACAAGGACUGGAAUGAAUGGACAGGUGGUAAUAGCAACCAAUGAAGUGUCUCUUGUUGUAUGUUAAGUACUUAUUUAGUUCUCUAGCAUCUGCGAUGCACUUGUGCUUAUGUUGUAAGAGCUAAAUGAGCAGUUUUGAUAUUUAUGAUCUCUAUGCCUUAGUUUAGAAUGA